rnacentral:lncRNA from 1 species
AUGACAACUAAUCCUCCUACUAGUUCUACUCAACCAUCAUCAUCUGAUGUUCCAUAUGUGGCUUCGGCUGCUAAGAUACACAAACCAAUCGGUGAUAUAGGUCGGAAAUUUAACCAUUUGAAAGACUUGAAUAAUAAGAGGAGGGUUACAUGUGAUUUUUGUAACGAAACAUCGACCAGAGGAAUUUCAAGGGCUAAACAACAUCAAUUAGGAAUAAAAGGAAAUGUGAAGGCUUGCACUCAAACACCGGACGAUGUUAAGUUAAUUUUGCAAGAGCAUGAAGAUAAGAAAUUGGCUGCAAAGAAAUCAAUUUCAGGUGAAGUCCAUGAAGAUGAUGAUAAGGCAUCAUGA